rnacentral:rRNA from 1 species
UACGUAGGGUGCAGGCGUUAAUCGGAAUUACUGGGCGUAAAGCGUGCGCAGGCGGUCUUUUAAGUCAGAUGUGAAAUCCCCGGGCUUAACCUGGGAACUGCGUUUGAAACUGGAAGGCUUGAGUGUGGCAGAGGGGGGUGGAAUUCCACGUGUAGCAGUGAAAUUCGUAGAUAUCAGGUGGAACACCAGUGGCGAAGGCGGCCUUCUGGACGGUAACUGACGCUGAGACGCGAAAGCGUGGGGAGCAAACAGG